UACAGAGGGUGCGAGCGUUAAUCGGAAUUACUGGGCGUAAAGGGCGCGUAGGCGGUCUGACAAGUGAGAUGUGAAAUCCCCGGGCUCAACCUGGGAACUGCAUCUUAAACUGUUAGGCUGGAGUACUGUAGAGGAUAGUGGAAUUUCCGGUGUAGCGGUGAAAUGCGUAGAGAUCGGAAGGAACACCAGUGGCGAAGGCGACUGUCUGGACAGAUACUGACGCUGAGGCGCGAAAGCGUGGGGAGCAAACAGG
rnacentral:rRNA from 1 species